rnacentral:rRNA from 1 species
GUCAAGUCAGCAUGACCUUUAUAUCCCAGGGCUACACGACACGCUACAAUGGUCUGUACAAUGGGUUGCCAAGCCGCGAGGCGGAGCCAAUCCUAAAAAGCUGGCCUCAGUUCAGAUUGCAGUCUGAAACUCGACUGCAUGAAGUCGGAGUUGCUAGUAAACGCAGGUCAGCUAUACUGCGUUGAAUACGUUCCCGGGGCUU